rnacentral:rRNA from 1 species
GGCGAACGGGUGAGUAACACGUGGGUAAUCUGCCCUGCACUCUGGGAUAAGCCUGGGAAACUGGGUCUAAUACUGGAUAUGACCUUUCUCCUUAUGGGGUUUGGUGGAAAGUUUUCGGUGUAGGAUGAGCCCGCGGCCUAUCAGCUUGUUGGUGGGGUGAUGGCCUACCAAGGCUACGACGGGUAGCCGGCCUGAUAGGGUGAUCGGCCACAUUGGGACUGAGAUACGGCCCAG